rnacentral:sRNA from 1 species
AAGAUGCCUGUUAGACAUCAAGGUGGAACUGGGAAUAGGGAGGCAGAGGAAUGAGCCUGGAGUUCAGGAGAUAUGUCUGAAUUGAAGGUAGGAAUUUGGGAGCUGAUGGCCUAUAACUGAGAUCAGUAAGAAAGUAUUUGGUUAUGGAAUUAAUGGAUGCUAACUUAUGUCAGGUUAUUCAUAUGGAGCUGGAUCAUGAAAGAAUGUCCUACCUUCUUUACCAGAUGCUUUGUGGUAUUAAACAUCUGCAUUCAGCUGGUAUAAUUCAUAGAGAUUUGAAGCCUAGCAACAUUGUUGUGAAAUCGGACUGCAGCCUGAAGAUCCUUGACUUUGGCCUGGCCCGGACAGCAUGCACUAACUUCAUGAUGACCCCUUACGUGGUGACACGGUACUACCGGGCGCCCGAAGUCAUCCUGGGCAUGGGCUACAAAGAGAACGUUGAUAUCUGGUCAGUGGGUUGCAUCAUGGGAGAGCUGGUGAAAGGUUGUGUGAUAUUCCAAGGCACUGACCAUAUUGAUCAGUGGAAUAAAGUUAUUGA